GAUGAACGCUGGCGGCGUGCCUAACACAUGCAAGUCGAACGGAGAUUACGGACGGAAGUUUUCGGAUGGAAGACUGUAAUUCUUAGUGGCGGACGGGUGAGUAACGCGUGGGCAACCUGCCCUAUACAGGGGGAUAGCAGCUGGAAACGGCUGGUAAGACCGCAUAAGUCGGCGAGACCGCAUGGUUUUGCCGGGAAAUGAGCAAUCAGGUAUAGGAUGGGCCCGCGUCCGAUUAGCCAGUUGGCAGGGUAAAAGCCUACCAAAGCAACGAUCGGUAGCCGGACUGAGAGGUCGGACGGACACAUUGGGACUGAGACACGGCCCAAACUCCUACGGGAGGCAGCAGUGGGGGAUAUUGCACAAUGGAGGAAACUCUGAUGCAGCGACGCCGCGUGAGUGAAGAAGUAUUUCGGUAUGUAAAGCUCUAUCAGCAGGGAAGAUGAUGACGGUACCUGACUAAGAAGCCCCGGCUAACUACGUG
rnacentral:rRNA from 1 species